rnacentral:rRNA from 1 species
AACGACUCUCGGCAACGGAUAUCUCGGCUCUCGCAUCGAUGAAGAACGUAGCGAAAUGCGAUACUUGGUGUGAAUUGCAGAAUCCCGUGAACCAUCGAGUUUUUGAACGUAAGUUGCGCCCGAAGCCUCCGGCUGAGGGCACGUCUGCCUGGGCG